CCAGACUCCUACGGGAGGCAGCAGUGGGGGAUAUUGCACAAUGGGGGGAACCCUGAUGCAGCGACGCCGCGUGAGUGAAGAAGUAUUUCGGUAUGUAAAGCUCUAUCAGCAGGGAAGAAAAUGACGGUACCUGACUAAGAAGCCCCGGCUAACUACGUGCCAGCAGCCGCGGUAAUACGUAGGGGGCAAGCGUUAUCCGGAUUUACUGGGUGUAAAGGGAGCGUAGACGGCAAUGCAAGUCUGGAGUGAAAGCCCAAGGCCCAACCAUGGGACUGCUCUGGAAACUGUGUAGCUUGAGUGCAGGAGGGGUAAGCGGAAUUCCUAGUGUAGCGGUGAAAUGCGUAGAUAUUAGGAGGAACACCGGUGGCGAAGGCGGCUUACUGGACUGCAACUGACGUUGAGGCUCGAAGGCGUGGGGAGCAAACAGGAUUAGAUACCCCAGUA
rnacentral:rRNA from 1 species